AUAUGCUCGGCGAACGGUUUUCACCGUGAUCUGAGAGUUUAGGCUUCUGAGAUCAUUGUGAAGGCCACUUGCCGUGCAAAA
rnacentral:pre_miRNA from 1 species